AGUGGCGGACGGGUGAGUAACGCGUGAGAACCUGCCUUGGGGUCGGGGACAACCACUGGAAACGGUGGCUAAUACCGGAUAAGCCGAUUGGUGAAAGAUUUAUUGCCCGAAGAGGAGCUCGCGUCUGAUUAGCUAGUUGGUGAGGUAAGAGCUCACCAAGGCAGCGAUCAGUAGCUGGUCUGAGAGGACGAUCAGCCACACUGGGACUGAGACACGGCCCAGACUCCUACGGGAGGCAGCAGUGGGGAAUUUUCCGCAAUGGGCGAAAGCCUGACGGAGCAAGACCGCGUGAGGGAGGAAGGCUCUUGGGUUGUAAACCUCUUUUCUCAGGGAAGAAGCUCUGACGGUACCUGAGGAAUCAGCCUCGGCUAACUCCGUGCCAGCAGCCGCGGUAAUACGGAGGAGGCAAGCGUUAUCCGGAAUUAUUGGGCGUAAAGCGUCCGCAGGUGGCGAUUCAAGUCUGCUGUCAAAGCACGGGGCUUAACUCCGUAAAGGCAGUGGAAACUGAAUAGCUAGAGUGCCGUAGGGGUAGAGGGAAUUCCCGGUGUAGCGGUGAAAUGCGUAGAGAUCGGGAAGAACAUCGGUGGCGAAAGCGCUCUACUGGACGGCAACUGACACUCAGGGACGAAAGCUAGGGGAGCGAAUGGGAUUAGAUACCCC
rnacentral:rRNA from 1 species